GAAAAAAACCAAGUUUACAACUCAUCAACCCUGUGAACAUACCUAAAACGUUGCCUCGGCGGGAACAGACGGCCCCGUAACACGGGCCGCCCCCGCCAGAGGACCCCCUAACUCUGUUUCUAUAAUGUUUCUUCUGAGUAAACAAGCAAAUAAAUUAAAACUUUCAACAACGGAUCUCUUGGCUCUGGCAUCGAUGAAGAACGCAGCGAAAUGCGAUAAGUAAUGUGAAUUGCAGAAUUCAGUGAAUCAUCGAAUCUUUGAACGCACAUUGCGCCCGCCAGUAUUCUGGCGGGCAUGCCUGUUCGAGCGUCAUUACAACCCUCAGGCCCCCGGGCCUGGCGUUGGGGAUCGGCGGAAGCCCCCUGCGGGCACAACGCCGUCCCCCAAAUACAGUGGCGGUCCCGCCGCAGCUUCCAUUGCGUAGUAGCUAACACCUCGCAACUGGAGAGCGGCGCGGCCACGCCGUAAAACACCCAACUUCUGAAUGUUGACCUCGAAUCAGGUAGGAAUACCCGCUGAACUUAAGCAUAUCAAUAAGCGGAGAAA
rnacentral:rRNA from 1 species